GAUGAAGAACGCAGCGAAAUGCGAUACUUGGUGUGAAUUGCAGAAUCCCGUGAACCAUCGAGUCUUUGAACGCAAGUUGCGCCCGAAGCCAUUAGGCCGAGGGCACGCCUGCCUGGGUGUCACACGUCGUUGCCCCCCCAUCUACUCCUUCGGGAUUGCGGGGGGCGGAUGAUGGCCUCCUGUGCGCCUCGUCGCGCGGUUGGCAUAAAUGCCAAGUCCUCGGCGACGCACGCCACGACAAUCGGUGGUUGCGAAACCUCGGUUGCCCGUCGUGUGCGGUCGUCGCGCAUCGAGGGCGCGAAAAAAUUGCCGGGCUCCGGCUCGGCUUUCAACGCGACCCCAGGUCAGGCGGGGUUACCCGCUGAAUUUAAGCAUAUCAAUAAGCGGAGGA
rnacentral:misc_RNA from 1 species